UGUAGCCACUGCUGCCAGCUUUCCUCCCGUGUGGAUCCAGUUUUCCCACAGCGUUCGUUCGAUACGGUCGUAUACAUUUGCCGCAGCAGUGUCGGUAGUGUUUUCCUCAGCCUCCUUUCGAUGGUGGCGAUGACGGGAUGGAGAAGAACAGCGGGGGCGUGUGUGUCAAGGAACGCAUAAAUUGAUUACUUUCUUUCUGCAGCAGUUGAGCGUAACGAACAGGAUCAAUCUUUUCGCUAUCCAACAAGGAUUUGGAAAAUCCGAAUAGUGAAACAGGAACGGAUUGUGAGGUUUGUGAGAUGGAUUAAAAAUGUCCCGGUAAUGCAAAAAUAUCGAUCCGUAUUCGUGUUACUUGGGCAGCCCAAGUAAUGGUCACUAUGUCGCAGCGGAUCUCUCUGCAUUAUGAAUCUGUUAAAGUUGAGUAGAGGGAGAGCGAGAGCGAAAGAGUGAUAAAUAGUUCCGUUUUAGGUCGUCAAGGUCGGCUUUUCCCCAAGAUUCACAGUUGCGUGGUGUUCUGUGUAUUCGAAUGUUUUGGUUUGUCAUUUACAUAUAUGUUUUGCCAUUCGGUCAGCAACCGGAUGUACGAGAUAAAGAUUGAAGCCAAACAGCGAAGGAGAUCGUUUCGAGGAGUUUGGACAUUCAAAAUAAGCUCACAAAAGCUGGAGAUGACAAAACUAAUAUUUGUUGAUCGAAUAUGCGAAUCACUUGAUUGAAGUGUCAGAAAUAGACAAGACAAGGCAAUAGGCAAUGUGUCCUGGUGUUGUUUUUUAUUCAUGCGAAUGUACUUUUAAAAACGAACACAUACAUAUAUUCUGUUGAAAUUGUUAGAAAAAACGAAGGGAUGUCGGGUGACGGUUGUGCACAUAAGAUAUUUCACAACAAUUUGGAUGAAUGGAAGAGGAAACAAACUUCCAGGGCUUACAUAUCGAGUCGAGGGCGAAUGAAAAAAAAAUAAAGAAAACUACAAGAUUGUCGAGAAAAAGAUCAAAGCCACGUUGAUUGUAUGGAAGUUAUCGAUGCUGUUCAUGCAAGCAGACCACAAGCGUAAUGAAAUGCGGGGGGAUGUUUGGGAGACUCAGCUUUACUCGGUAUCGUGAUGGAGCAGCAGGUACAUUGAAAUACAGAGGCGUCAUUGGAUAAUUUAUGCAUCAAAGACAGUGGAGACAAUUUAUUGCAUAAUACUCAAUCGGUUUGGCAACUAGGAGGGAUUGGAACGCUUCUUUCCGAAUGCUCGCUUCUUGAUCUACCUGCUCGGACUGCAAUUACACAGGAUGUUAUUUUAGGGGCAUGGGAUUUAAAAUUUCAAAUGAAAUAAAACACAUAUAAAUGAAUUGAUGCCAUGAAUUUGGUUAUUAUUCGAGAAAUAAUAUCUUGUUUUUUUAUAUGAUUAUCGGUGCGGCUGUGUCGGAGUUGGUCCAAUCGGGAAGUUUCAUUUUCCAUCACUUUUAGUAACAAUUGUAUGUCAGUGAUAAUGUUGUCAAUGUUGUCUUCCAAGGCGUCAAUCGUUCUCAACAUAUUGUCGUGUACCAGAGACUUCAUUUAGCAUAACAAAAAUAGUUAUAUCUCAUAAACUUGGUCAGUUCACAGACCCAUUACGCGAAACUAUUGGUUCACCGGAGGUUCCUUUCAAUUGGUUCCGCACGGUAUGAAACGUUACGCUUUCGGAGUCUCCAUGUUAAGGACACUCAAUUGUGGUACAAAAAAGUCGGUAGUCAUGGCCCCGUAGCGGUCGCCAAUCAAUGAGGGCCUUAGAAUCUCUUCAUCAACUUUUUCUUUAGUAAAUAACUCAACUGCAAAAGAGUUCCAAUUUAAGUUUGCUAUAGAAUCCGAUAGAUGAGGCUCUGACCUAUCUUGUACACUGUCAAAUACAACUGGGAAUGUAUUUGCAGCUAAGUUAUGAUCAGAAGAGAGAGUCGAUGUAGAGAAAUCGAUCAAAUCACUUACACCCCUUUCAUUCUAAGCCCCUCAAAUGUUAUGUUCUGGCCGUCAUUAUCCUUAAAGAAAUGUGGAUAAACGAUUCCGUCGGACCAUGAAGCAAAAAGAGUUACUUUUUCAGGAUGCAGCGAAAUUUCUACAAUGGAACCUCCUUCCUGGGUCUUCAAUGGGUAGAUUGAGUGAUACCUUUCCCACAUCUUCCGCGGGAGAUAAACACAACCGGCCCUAAUCAUGGUUCACGCGAUUUCUCCUAUCCUCCUCAGUUUGCAAGCGGCAGAGAUAAGCUUCGCAUGCUAUUGCGAGAGCGUUCUUGGUAAUAAAUAUAGUAUCGCAACGAAUGAACUUUAUACAAACAUUGGCUUACAAUCGCGGUGCAACUAUUAACUCUCCCCCGUAAUCGGAGAACUUUCUUAGCGAGGGAAUACAAAAACCCCAUUAUCCUUCAAAACAGUCAUAAACUAAACUUUUAUCCGGGGAAACGAGUGGGAUUCAAAUGAAAGAACCUCAUAAAGCAACACCUCCCGACCCGUACCCACCUUUUACGAUAAAAUUUUAAUUAGCAACUCGAACUUUCAUACGCCACGUCGGUUCGGUUUAUGAGUAAUGAAGAAGCGGUUUCGAUAUGGAAAUUUGCGUGGUGUAGAGAUUUCCGAAGAAGGUGCUUAGGGGGGGGGGCUGAUGUGGGACCCCUGAUCCGACACGUUAGAGAUGAUUGUUUCCCACGUGGCUUAAAACUUUCCCAGUCGCGAGACUUGGCUGCAGAGAGAGUGCCUCUUCGAGAAGUGAUAAUUAAUAAUUCUAAUAAUUGUGGAAGAUCAUUCGUUGUCUGCGGAUAUGUCGUCAGUCUGAAAUCAAAUACAAACUCAAUGAGUGCAAACAAAGUUUCCUGAAAGUCUGGAUCCAUCUAAGCUUCCUUCUAUCGGCGAAUCAUUACCGAUUACUACUGCUCCAUAUUAUGUGUUGGAGAGCCUGAACAAUUAAUAUCUAUUUUUUUAAUUAGAUACCAAUGCUAUUUGUGGCAGCUGUUGUAUUUAUUAUGAGAACAGCAUCGAUUCAAUCGACUCCGAAAGGGAGUUAUUUGAACGGGAGAAAUUUAUUUGUUCUUCCCUCUACCACCAAAAUUAAAUAGCAUGACUCUACCAAUGAAACGCUGGAUGCGCCAGCGGAAAAUCGAUAUCUAAUUAAGACACAGAGCGGAGAGUCGAGUGGUCGUGAUAAAAUUCGGCCCUUGCCUGGGAACGUGAGCGAUGCUUCAUUUAAUUCAAUUAAGUGGUGUAUUCAUCAUGUACAGUCUAUUAAAUUAUGAUACUUUUAAUUGUGCAAUGGGUUUGGGGGAAAUUUGUGCACAUUUAAGAAGAUCGCUCUCUCAGCGCAAAGAACUCAUGUCUGCAAUAGAAUUAGUUUCAACUGUUUCAUAAAAACAUCAUUAUCGCAAAUGAACAAUAUAAUAAUAGAACAAUAGAACAAUAGAACAAUAGAACAAUAGAACAAUAGAACAAUAGAACAAUAGAACAAUAGAACAAUAGAACAAUAGAACAAUAGAACAAUAGAACAAUAGAACAAUAGAACAAUAGAACAAUAGAACAAUAGAACAAUAGAACAAUAGAACAAUAGAACAAUAGAACAAUAGAACAAUAGAACAAUAGAACAAUAGAUCAAAAUAGAACAAUUCAAUAUUACAUCAAUAGAACAAUAUUACAAUGGAAUAAUAGAAACAAUAAUAACAAGAAUUUUCUACUGCGCUCCUGGCAGCCAUCGUAACUUUUCUGAUUCACUUCUAUUUAGUUAUCCAAUUGAUAACUAACACACAUUUAUACUCCUCCUUCGCGAGCAAUCGAUUCCCUUCUUAUGAAUAGAAUAUGUUGAAAUGUAAAUUCAUGUUAGCUAGAAGAAUUGAGUGUGAUCAUUAACAUUACCUCACUAACCGAAGAAUUGAUGAAAAUGGUCAUAUAUAUUAGCAUAUAUCACCAUUAAAAUAUGCCUGUAAGAAUAAACGAAUUGUUAUCAAAACGAAAACUAAUCUCUUCGUAUUGAUCCUAGCUAUUUUUCAAAAAUUAACUAGCCUUCGCUCUUACAUUGGUGCCCGACGUUAUAAUCCACGACAUGUGAAUUACGUUUAGGUUAUUUUUUUUUACUUAUUUUUUGAUAUUUGAAGUAUAGGAAAUUUUAGUUUUAAGCAAUAAUUUCAUCCCCUGUUUCAAUAGGAUAAAUUUUACAAGUUUUCGUGCUUUCUUUGCUUUGCUUUGCAUAACCACUCUCAAACUGUUAACUUCGAUCCAAUAUCGUAAUGUUUUCCUCUAUCUUUACUUUACUUCUGAUGAUUCAGACUCUCCGCUUUCCUCAAUAUCGCUUAAAUUCAUCAAUCUUCUUAGCGUUUUAUACUAUUACUCUAUUACUUCCGGAACUCAUAUUAGCGUCUCAAACUUUUGAUCUUGCUGUGCCAAAUCUAUAGUUUUCAUUCUGUGGAUUCUUUCACGACAGUGACGCAAUAGUGAAAUCUAUUUGACAUGAACAUUUUCUUUCAGACCUGCCUCGAUUUGCUUCAAUAUCCUAUUUACUUCCCUUUUCCUCUCUCUGAAAAAAUAUAUUCCAAUCGUUCUCUUUUCUGCUGUGUUGAUUCCUAGACAAUCUGUUUUCUUAUUUCCGAUUCUACCUUAUUAUUCUAAUUAAGCAAUAUUCUAAUUCCUUAUCGUUUGAAUCAUAUGGAUUUGUUAUCCGAAUUUCGCCUUCAACCAUAACACUAAAUUGAUUCUCUCUCUUUUUUCUUUUCGGGAAACCAAACCAGGCAGAAUUUGUUCGCAAAAUAAUUAAAAUAAUAAUAAAAAGAUAAAAUGUCCCACUCCCAAAAAUUUCAAAUAAUAUAAACCUCCACUAAGAUUUCCAAACUUUUUGGUACAUUUCUUUAGUUGAAAAAAAAAACAACCUAAACGUAACUCACAGGUUGUGGAUUAUGAAGUUGGGCUCCAAUGUAAUUCCAAUAAACUGCUCUAGAUUUGUCUUUGAUUUUCGCUUUUCUCUAAUACCAAAAAACUUUCAUUCCCAGUUUUGAAAUCUCAAGAACUGUGAAAACAAGCCUGCCUAUGCAAAAAAAAAAUUUGACGAAUGAUUUUAGGAUUGAAGUCCUUUAUAAAUCAAUUGGAAGAAAAACAUGUGUAACUUAGCCUAUAAGCCUUUGCAUAGAAACUACACCGGACGCAAGUAUUAAAAAGAUGUUAUUUGCAGUUAGCAUUCUAGAGUCACUCCAGUGAGAGAGCAGUCACCAUCCUUUCAUAAAGCUGAUAGUUAAUUUUAAAAAUUUCAAAUUGCCUUUUCAAAGGCAACGGAAGAAUAGAUUUUGAUCUUCUAAAUAGUUUGCGCCUUGAUCAUCCCUAGCCAACCAGAUCCACAACAGCGAAAUAGCAAUAGCUCAUACAGCGCUUAGGCCUUUUGGGAGAGCAGAGUUUUUUUUUAACGUUUACUGGAAUCCUCUUUUGUAGAACAGCUGAUUAAGAAGAAUAGAACAGAUUAGACGGAGAACAGAAUUAGAGACAGAAAAAUACGGUCGACAGAAUCGGUAAAAUAUAUGUGUUGGCGUUAAGUUGUUGUAAGUUUGAAUUCAAAUCUGUUUUUCUGUAAAGUGUCCGAAAAUCAGAAAGGUUGGGCGCGAACAUAAAUGUAUAUGCAUGUAUUUAUAUGUCGACGAAAUGCGUUUUUCGAUAUGCGCCAAGUUUUAUAUUGCAACGGACGGUUUUGAGUUUCGGUUCAGUUUCAUUCCCGAACUCGCGGUAUGCAGUCAGCUAAUAUUCGUCGUAUUCUUCAACAACUCACUACGUGAAAAAAAACUACCGAAUUCCCCAAAUCAUGUCUCAUUCCAAAGUAAGUGAUAAACAAACGAAUUGGAUGAAAUAAUUUCGUAGUCCUAGGUCAAUAAUGUGAUCGUGCCCUGGAUACCACUCUGAAUAAUUUGUUUUAUUUUUGAAAAGAGGUCCUCGAGAUGAAAAUUAACAGCGGGAUCAUCAUCCAAGAAAAAAUGGAAGCCCAAAGUAAGUCGUAGAGCCGAGCUUCAAUCGAAAUUUUGAGGCCUGUUGCUGCUGUUAAUUUGCGCGUAGUUUACAGUAUUAGGGGGGGGGGGGUUUCUCUGAGGAGCCGCAAUUCUCGGCAGGUCUGCUUUCACGGAACAAAUUGAUGCUUAUCAUUCUCCAUUAGCACCCAAUUCCAUCCGUCACAACGCCGCACCCGUUUCCGCUUAGAGAAAGUGAAGACACAGACCAGCGGAUUGAUGUGAAAAUGUUUGGAUUCCUCUUUUUUAAUUAGGUUUUCUUAAUACAGUAAAUCUAAUUAAAACUUUUACAGCUGUAAUUACACCCCUUCAGAGCGUUCCUCAUUUCAUUUCCAGUUAGGAUAAUCAGAUUUGAUUCUGUUGAUUAUUGUAUUUCGAUUGAGCGAAUAUAAAAGAUUGUAUGAUAUGAAAAUCUAUCUUUUCGUCUACUCGAGUCAUGCAAUUUUGCGACAAAUCAACCGGCUGACUCGACCCUCUCCGAUUUUUUUUAAACAUGGGACGUAUUAUGGAAACUAUCUAAAACGACUUUUUUUUAAAGAACAUAUUCAAAUUCAUUGAUCUUUGUUACAAAAAAUCAUAGCCCAAAAUCCAGAUGUCUGAUUUAAAUAUGAUGUUUGACAAAGUUGUUGGAAAAUUAAUGAACUAUUAAGGGAAAAUAACAUUUUGAAUUCAAUAUUAAAAAUUCUCACUAAAAAAUUAAUUUUACAUUAAAAACUUUAUAUUAAAAAACAGGAACCACUUUCAAACAUCAUAUUACAAUCAAACAUCCGAUUUUGAAUUACGGUGUUUCGAAAGAAAGAUCAAUGAUUUUGAAAACACCCUUUUGAAAAAUCAGUCGUAGUUUAAAUUGGUCAUAUGAUAAUGAAAAUUGUGAUUUUGGAUAGUUUCCCCCAUAUUAGGUUGAGGAAAAAAUAAUCCAUUAUUUUUGGGUGAAAUUAAAAACUAUUUUUAAUAUGCUUCGAAUUGUCCGAUUCGGGUCAAAUAAACACCGUUUUGAUGGAAAAUUUGUUGCCAUUCUAAAGAUAGCAACAAAGAGGUCUUGGUCGUUAUUAGCGAAAAACCAUAGCAAUAGAUUUUUACAAUCUUCUCUUUAUCCCAAUUCCGUAUUACUCUGGAAAUUUUCCAAUCCGGGAAAAAGGAUGCGAGGUUCGUUUGGUGCCAGCUCCGAACUUUAUGGUAGAUGCAUAAAAACAUCCCAAUUAAGCUCUCGGAAUUGUGUGGCCUUGCGUUGUCUUGAAGGCACACAACACCUAGUCUGUUGACCAAUUCUGAACGUUUCUGGUCAAUCGCUAGCUUCAAACGGUCCAUUUGUUGACAGUAGAGAUCAUAACUUAGUGUAUUGCACUGAAGAAAAAUUUUAAAAAGAAAUUUAUAAAAAUUAAAUAAAUUUAAUUGCACGUUUUUUACAGUUGCAGUAUCAGCACCAUAAACAUCAAGUACAAUUUCAGCGGCUUGGCUUGCAUUUUCGCAUUAAUAAAAUAAAAAGUGUAAAAUGUACCGAUUUUCCUCUUCGUUAACUUCCAUUGUUAAACCCUGUAACUCACAACUGAAUGGAACAAACAAAAAACAACAAAAUAUUUUUUAGUGCGAAAUGCCACCUUUACAACGAGCCUAAACUUGAAAUUGUAUGAUCAAUAUUACGCGAGAUAUUGAUCACUAAAGCCAGCCAACGAGAAAAUAAUCGAUAUAUUUUCCCCUACCUAAUAUGUAUCAAGUUCCAAUAAAAUCGAAGAGGGUUUUCGGCUGAUUUUACGUUGAAUCUUUCAAUAUAAACAUCCAAUUUUGAAUAUUUUUAAGAUACACAUCUAACUUUGAUAAAGGCAUAAUGCCAUUAGAUCGACAAUUCGAUGAAAGUCAAAGCAUUAGCUUCUCAGCUGUGGACCAAAAAUGGAUUCGAAAAUGUAUAGGGAAGAGUGCCUGCAGAAACGUAUCAUUCCGUUUAUUCAACUCACAAAGGUCUGGUGAAGUGAAGCUGUCACUACAAUCGAGAGAUGUUUCAGUGGUACCGUGACAAUGGGAUCGAAAAUGACCUAAAUCCUCCCGAUUGUCCCUAAUUUUGCCCAGUCGAAAAAUAUUGGGCAAUUGUCAAGCGGAAAUUGAAGACAUUUACUAAAAUAACUCGGGGUGCUGCAGACUUUAAGAGAUCGUGAAAUAAAAUGGCCGCUUGAUUAACCGCGAGUCCAAACUUGAAUGGAGAGUAUCCGAAGAGAAGUACAAACAUUCUUGAAAAAUUUAACAGAAGAACUAUUUUAAUUUUUAUUCUGAAAAAAAAACAAAGAAUUACCUGCAUUUUGAUAUAAAACAUGUUUUGUACCUUUAACCAAUCCCGAGAUACAACUUGUGUUGUGAUUACGGAUUCUAAAUGAAUCAAGCUUUUGCAUUGAUUAUGGUUCAUUGUGGAUUCCGCAUUAGUACAUUCAUGUGGUUAGGGGCAUCACGAAACGCAAAUAAAUGAGAAGAUGAAAAGGAUGAUUUAGACGAAUUAUAAAGUUUUUCAUCAAUUCAAAUAGGUAAGCGCUUCAAAAAGAGUGUGUGUACGCGCGUAGUAGCGUUGUCCGUGUCCCGUGAUCGGGUCCCAAUGGUAGAGUCUGUCCAAGGAUGAUUUUGUCGAGAGUGAAUAAAAGCACGUCCGUUUUCUGAGAACUUUAUUCCGAUAAUGGCAGGAAAAACUGGGUUCCCCAGUUGAAAAAACCUGCAUCUUUUCAUCUAUUCUUCUCUAUGUACAGUUCAUUGUUUUAAAUUGUAUAAAUUCGUAGUGUGAGUUCAUUGUUACAAUUGUUUUUAAUUCUUGUGUAAUUCGAUUGGCGAUUUUAAUGUGUUGUGUUUUUGUUGUGAUCAACUGUGAUAUUUUCGUUAAGCUAUCCUAGUUGUGCAUGGUAAUAGGGUUGUGUAAAAUGUGUACUGUGAGUGUUACAAAUAUAAAUUAUAUGUGUGUACUGUCCUAUGUACUAUGAAUGUAACAAUAAGGAAUUUUAUUUUAUUUAAUUUAUUGAGAUGGAACAUGCCGGCCCCCUUGAAAUGAUUAUUUCAACACGUUGUCAUCCUGAAAUAAUUGUUGAGUUUUCAUAUUUACGAAAACAACCGCGCGUUCCUAUCGUUGCGACUGCCGCCAGGAUUACCAGCCGUUCACCGAAAUCGAGAGCAAUGGGAGAAACAAUAGCGAGGACGAUGUGUGGAGUACGCUGAGGAGCGGGAGGCUAGCGCUCUAGUUCUGUACUGUUUUGGGAAUUUGGAUCAUCGCAGUGUGGAAGCGGGCACAUCUUGCGGAUCGUGCGGCGGUAAAUUUUGUUAUCACCCAUCAUUACAUCAGCAACUCGAACACACUGAUCGUCUCCAGCGAUAGUUUUGACCACUCGAGCUAUUGGCCAUUUGGUAGGAGGUUGAUUGUCUUCCUGUAGUAAAACCAUAUCUCCGACCGAAAGAUUUGGAUUUGAUCCAGGCCAUUUCUGGAGUUUCUGAAGUGUAGGAAGAUAUUCUUUCUGCCAACGGGACCAGAAAGAUUGGAGGGUGUGUUGCAUUUGUUGCCAACGCGACAGACGAUUUGUUGAGAGGUGGCAGAGAUCUGGUUCGGGAAGUGCUUGGAGUGGAGCACCAAUAAGGAAGUGACCAGGUGUGAGGGCUUCGAGGUCGGAAGGAUCAUUGGAGAGGGGUGUCAAAGGUCGUGAGUUGAGGCAGGCCUCAAUUUGUGUUAUUGUUGUGGCCAUUUCCUCUUGUGUGAACAGUGUGUCAAUUGUAACUCGACUGAGUAUAUGUUUCGUCGAUUUUACACAGGCUUCCCAGAGUCCGCCAAAUGAUGGAGAACGAGGAGGAAUAAAGUGAAAGGUGAUACCGAGCCUUGUUGAUUCAUCAGCUACCCUUUUCUUAUGUUGUUGUGAGUGGAAAAGUUGAUUUAACUCGUGGAGUUCCCUAUUUGCCCCAACGAAAUUGGUGGCAUUGUCACAAUAGAUGUGCAAUGGAUAACCACGUCUUGCACAGAAUCGUCUCAAUGCUGCGAUGAAAGAUUCGGUUGUGAGGUUCAUCACCAGUUCCAAGUGGGCUGCCUUUAUCACCAUACAAACGAACACGCAAAUAUAGUCUUUAAUAGGUUCCUGUUUACGAGGAGGCUUGAUAUAGAUUGGUCCUAAAAAAUCUAUACCAGUGUUGAUAAAAGGACGAGAAGGCGUAACUGGAACUGCAGGAAGAUCGGCCAUUGCCUGUUGCGCAAACGUUGGGUUGUUUCGGAAACAGAUGAUACAUUUAUGUAUUGUUAGACGUGCUUUGUUGCGGCCAUCUAUUGGCCAGUAUCGUUGUCGAAUUGCUGCGAGAAGCUGCGAAGGUCCAGCGUGCAAUGUCGCGUUGUGAUACUCUUGAAACAGCAGGUCGGUAAAGUAACUAUUUUUCGGCAGUAAUAUUGGAUGCUUGCGAUCAAAUGGAAUUGGAGCAUUCUUUAUCCGGCCACCAACACGAAUGAGUUGUUCAUCAUUUGACAAAAUUGGCUUUAGAAAACGAAGAGAAGAUUUCCUAUCGAUUGGCAUAUUUUUUAGUAGUUUUUUGUAGUCAUCGCUAAAAUGCUCAACCUGAAUUGUUCGUAUUAGGAGGUGUGUAGCAGAUCGAAUUUCAGAAGCAGAAAGGAAUCCUGUGUUGCGAGGUGAAUUAUUUUUCGUGAACUUGCAGUUGGCGAUGAAACGAUGACAAUAAGUAAUUAUUCGCAAGCCGUCAUACAAAGAGUUGUAUUUUUCGAGUAGUUCUUGUAACCAGGAGUCAUUUGAAGAUGUACACACUGCUGAAAUUGCAGCUGACUUUCGCCGUUCCAGAUCGGAUUCUGGCAACUUAUAUUCUUUCCAUGUGUGAGCUGUACGCGGUCAUUUAUGCGGAGGGUCAAGCAGCCCUGUUGGUCCAUUCCACCAUGGGGAAUUAUUGAUUAUGGAUAGCGGUGUAAGACCGCGUGAAAUAUGAUCUGCGGGAUUAUCUAAGGUGGGUACAUGAAGCCAUGUUGCGAAUUGUGUUAAUUGUUGAAUUUGCGCAACUCGAUUUGCAACGAAAACAUUCCAGGACGACGGUUGACCAGCAAUCCAAUGAAGCGCUAUCGUAGAGUCAGAUCACAUGUAAUAUUCACAAUUGAGGUUUAAACUUUCUACGAUCAUGUUCUGUAGAUUAGCAAGAAGCAAUGCUGCACACAGCUCUAAUCGAGCAAGCGUAGGUCGACGUCUUUCAGUAGGUGCAACUCGAGAUUUGGAUGCAAUUAAACGAGAAGCAACUACUCCAGUAGAAGAUACUGAUCGGAUGUACACGCAGGCACCAUAAGCACGUUGAGAUGCGUCGGCAAAACCAUGUAGUUGGAUGGAGCAAGGAAAAUCUGUUGCUACGAAGCGCGGGAUUGAUAGAUCCUUCAAAUUAACCAUUUAUUGAAUAAAUUCCAUCCACCAAUUAUGAAUGUCGGGAGGGAGAGUCUCAUCCCACCCAAAUUUUCCUUCCCAGAGUGUCUGUAUGAGUAAUUUGGCACUACAUAUCACCGGUCCAAUCAAUCCGAGUGGGUCGAACAUACUGCAUACGUAUGAGAGAAUAUUGCGUUUUGUCGAAACGAGCUAAUAGGACCUUCUGGAAUCCUAAAAUGUAAUUCAUCGGAUUUGGGUUUCCACAGUAAGCCGAGCGUUUUGAUUGGAGCAGUGUGAUCGAGUUCCAAUAUCGGAGAUUGUUCAUGCUGAUCUGACGGGAACAGUUCCAGAAUUUCAAUGCGAUUCGAUGCCCAUUUUCGCAAAGGAAAUCCGGCAGCUUCAAGCAUCUGAGAUGUUUCUCUUACUGCAGCUUCUGCUUCUUCCAGUGAGUCAGGCCCUUUUUAACUACAGGUACCGCUGCAGGAAAAUUAUCUGCUUCGUCAUCCGCUAAUUUUUGUAAACAACGGGUCGCCAAAUACGGAGCUGAUGUUGUACCAUAAGUAAUUGUGGUCAGUUGGUACGUACGCAAUGGUUCAGAAGGUGAAUCACGCCAGAGAAUUCUCUGUAGCAUUUGAUCCUUUUUGUGUACCCAAAUUUGUCGGUACAUCUUCGUUAUAUCGGCUGUCACGACUAUCCGUUUCAUUCGAAAUCGGAGAAUAAUGAAAAUCAUAUUGUCUUGCACAGUUGGACCAGUUAGCAGUAGAUCAUUGAGGCUAAAACCCGAAGUGGUUUUGCAUGACCCAUCGAAAACCACUCGUAGCUUCGUGGUUGUGCUGUCCGGUUUAAGGACGGCGUGAUGUGUUAGAUAGAAGUGGUGACCUGGAAUAUCCUCAACAGGUUCAACCAACUUCAUGUGUCCAAGGUCUAAGUAUUCCUUCAUAAAUUGUGUAUAUUGGUGUCGAUGUUCUGGAUUUAAUUCGAAGCGUUUUUCUAGCGAAUAGAAUCGACGUGUUCCAAUCGAAAGCGAAUUUCCUAGCUGACCAAUUAGUUCUUCCUUCUUCGGCAGCGAGACUAUAUAACGGACGGAUGAAUCUCUGCGUGUGUUGGCGAUGAAAUUGUCUUCACAACGCUUUUCUUCAACCGACCAGUCAACGUUUGAAGAGCAAGAUUCCAGUUCCCAAAACUUGUUCACACGUUGGUCUAAGUCCUGGUACAUUGAUACUUGACAAGAGUAAUGAUUCUGUACAGGAUUGCGACGAAGAUGCAACCCAGAUACUAGCCAUCAGAGAACAGAAUUUUGAAGAACAGGUUUGUCAUGUGCAAUCUUAAAGUGACCGUUUCGAAUAAGGUCAAAAAAUACUUGAGCUCCGAUGACUAUAGCUAUUGGACCCUUUAUAGCAAAUGAUGGGUCAGCGAGACGAACGUUCUCUGGAAUAACCCAAUCGCUGGUGUCGACAGUACAGGUAGGCAGGUCGUUCGUAACCUUUUCCAUCACGAUGAAUUCAAGAGGAACGCGAUAGUUGUUGAAUCUAGAUGCUACUGUUGCAACCGCUGAGUAAUUUGAUACUGCAGCGAUAUCACCACCUACGCCGGCAAUUUCCGUAUUUUCCGGUGUUUUACGAAUAUUCAGAAAUCGUCGAAAUCGUUCAGUCAUCAAAUUCGGCUGAGAGGCGUUGUCGAGUAGGGCUCGAGCAAGGAAUGAAUUUCCAUUAGAACCAAGAACUUUAACGACAGCGGUCGCAAGGAAGACUUGACUUGGAGGGGAGUGAUCAAAUCGAGACACAAUGUGGCUGUCACUGACUUUGAUGAAUUCGAGAGAGAUUCAUUGGACUGAAAAUUACAUUUGCUGGCGGAAAGUAGAAGUGAAUUGCUUUGAGUUAUAUGUGAAACAGUUGAGUCGUUGGUUUGUUGUCUCCUAUUGUAGCUAGUGGAUGGCGAAUUCUGUGCAGAAUUAUGCAGUAACGUAUGAUGCUUAGCUCCACAUUCCCGACAAGAACCAUAUUUACAGCUGGUAGGGGAAUGUUUUCCGAAUAGACAAUUAUUACAGAGUCCUGCUUUCGAUACAAUUGAAAUUCGUUGUGAUAAUGGCAUGUGUUUGAAACUUUCGCAAUAGUACAGUCGAUGUCCUCUGCCACAAGCUAGACACUGUUCUUUCGAAGGAUAUGAAGUCGUAGUAUUAAUGUUCUGUGGAACGGAUCUGGAUUCUAGAGUAUUUCGGUCAGUCCUUAGCGUCUCGAGUUCAACAAUAUAAUCGCAGAGAAACUGGAUCAGUUCGUCAUAUGUUGGCAUUCUCUUUUUGUCUGCUGUUCGCUGCCAGCCCCGGAGAGUUGUUUGGUCUAACCGUAAUGUUAUCAUGUGGACUAGUAAUGAGCUCCAACCUUUCGUGUUUUCUCCCAAUUUCUGCAAUAUUCCUAGAUUAUUUUCAUACUCGCCCACCAGGUUGGUUAGGGCCCUAGGAUACUCCUUUUUCAAUCGGUCCAUCUUGAAAAAUGCUUCAAUGUGGUUCCGUAUCAAUAUAUUUUUGUUUUGAUAACGAUCCGUAACUAUUUUCAAUGCCACAGAAUAAUUAUCACCAGUAACCGACAUUUUCUCAAUUAAUCUGUAGGCUUCACCUCUCAGAGUAGAUUUGAGAUAAUGAAACUUCUGUACAUUUGACAAGUCACUAUUGUUAUUAACCAAUGACUCGAAUGUCUCAAAAAACGAACACCACUUCAAAAUGUCUCCACUAAACUCGGGUAAUUUAAUAUCAGGCAACUUAAGUGAACGGUUUGAUUGUUGCUGAGUAGGUACAACGUUAGGUUUGUCAAUGGAGGCAUUGAAAAAUGCCUUGAGUGCGAAAUACUCUUCUUCGAAGUUACUCAUAUCCUCGUAAAGGUCGACCCCUUCAAAUUCCUUGCCAUCGGAAAGUACUUCCAGUUCACACGAACAUUCCCGAAAUCUCUCGUACGUGCUAUCAAGUGCCGCUAUUCUUGCCUGUGCUUGCGCGGUUUGUGUAUUCGGAUCGAAAGCAUCCUUAAAUUCCUUCAAUCUUGCAAUGAAAUCGCACGAUUGUCGAUAACUCGCUAAACACCUUUUAAUUUCUGAAUCCUUUGGUGGCAUUGUAAAACCUGAACUCAAUAUGAUCGGUGUUCUAUUUUAUAGAGAAUCUAACCGAUAUUGUAACGCUAGUUGUAACCGCUCAAGCAACACGAAAAUUUCACAAAACCACUUCUAAAUCGCCCUGUUGAUAAUAUGGCGCUAUCUAUUGAAACAAUAGCGACAAUGCCACUACAAUAGGCCAGUAUAUGCUCUUUAUGUAGUUCAAUAUUGUUUAAGAAAAAAGCAAAUCAGCUUACGUGACCUUGACUUCUCGUAGAUUGUCGAAUAUACCGUGGUGUCGAGUCCUUUGUGUCGAGUUUUGAGUCAAGUCCGUUAAGUAAAGUUCUUUGAGUCAAGUCCUUUAAGUCAAGUCUGUUGAGUCAAGUCCUCGUUAGAUAUCAAGUCAAAUUUAUCUUUCCACUCGCAGUCGUUUGUUUUAGUCAGGUCCGAAUU